UACAGAGGUCUCAAGCGUUGUUCGGAUUCAUUGGGCGUAAAGGGUGCGUAGGUGGCGCUGUAAGUCGGGUGUGAAAUUUCGGAGCUUAACUCCGAAACUGCAUUCGAUACUGCGGUGCUUGAGGACUGGAGAGGAGACUGGAAUUCAUGGUGUAGCAGUGAAAUGCGUAGAUAUCAGGAGGAAUACCGAUGGCGAGGGCAGGUCUCUGGGCUGACACUGACGCUCAUGCACGAAAGCGUGGGGAGCAAACAGG
rnacentral:rRNA from 1 species